rnacentral:rRNA from 1 species
GAUGAACGCUGGCGGCGUGCCUAAUACAUGCAAGUCGAGCGAACAGAUGAGGAGCUUGCUCCUCUGACGUUAGCGGCGGACGAGUGAGUAAUACGUGGAUAACCUCCCUAUCAGACUGGGAUAAAUUCGGGAAACCGGAGCUAAUACCGGAUAAUAUAUUGAACCGCAUGGUUCAAUAGUGAAAGACGGUUUUGCUGUCAGUGAUAGAUGGACCCGCGCCGCAUUAGCUAGUUGGUCAGGUAACGGCUUACCAAGGCAACGAUGCGUAGCCGCCCUGAGAGGGUGAUCGGCCACACUGGAGCGGCUACACGGUCCAGACUCCUACGGGAGGCAGCAGUAGGGAAUCUUCCGCAAUGGGCGAAAGCCUGACGGAGCAGCGCCGCGUGAGUGAUGAAGGUCUUCGGAUCGUAAUACUCUUUUAUUAGGGAAGAACAAAUGUGUAAGUAACUAUGCACGUCUUGACGGUACCUAAUCAGAAAGCCACGGCUAACUACGUG